UGUAAUUUCUAAGAAACUCCAACUUGUAUUUCUUAAACACCAUUUAGGGGACACAUAGACCAAAAUAAA
rnacentral:sRNA from 1 species